GGCUCUGGAGGUGCAGGUGAGGGAGCUCCGGGAGGAGGUUAGCAGGCUGAGGGGGAUCAGGGAGGCGGAGGAUGAAAUUGACAGUUAUUUCCUUUCCCUGCAGGCCCAGGCACCCAAGGAAGAAGCAGCCCGGGGAAUGCCCUCCACAGCAGAAUGGCACACGGUCACAGCCAGGACCGGAGCAGCUCUCAGCGAACCGGUACCAGCUUCUCCAGUCCAACUGGUGAACAGAACAAGAGAUCCACGAGGACCCAGAGGAGGAGGCGACGAGUGCUCGUCAUAGGCGACUCCAUCCUGAGAGGUACGGAAGGACCCAUCUGUCGCCAGGACCCCUCGGCAUGAGAGUGACCGGACGAGGAAGACGGCAGGAGAACUGCAUCAGAGAGACCAACUGGCGGCUUCGGCAGUGGUGUCUCGAGGCAGGCUUUGGCUUCCUGGACAAUGACCCGCACAUCACGACGAGGGACAUGCUCAGCUGGGAUGGGCUUCACCUGUCCCCCAAAGGUAAGCGUGUGUUUUCUACUAGGUUGGCGGAUCUCCUCCAGCGGGCUUUAAACUAGGCUCGUCGGGGGGAGGGGAGUACGAGGGCAGGGGAAGCUGUGGACCACCAAACCAUGUGGCACCCACAAGGACAGCCCAGCCUGAAGACGGAGAACAUUGGAAACCUGAAAGCCGUGGGGAGACCAGCACUACAGAACAGGUAAGAAACAAGAAGGUAAGAAACAAUGGGCCCCUUGGGACUCGGAGCGGGGGGGCAGCAAAGGCACCAGUCGUAGGGCUCAAGUGCCUAUAUAC